AACGACUCUCGGCAACGGAUAUCUUGGCUCACGCAUCGAUGAAGAACGUAGCAAAAUGCGAUACUUGGUGUGAAUUGCAGAAUCCCGUGAACCAUCGAGUUUUUGAACGCAAGUUGCGCCCGAAGCCAUUCGGCCGAGGGCACGUCUGCCUGGGCGUCACGCAU
rnacentral:rRNA from 2 species